rnacentral:rRNA from 1 species
CCAAAAACGGUCUAAUCCUCUAAAGGCAUUUGCUCAUGUGCUACCUUUGUGCAUUGUAUGUCAUCAUGGAAUUUAGUGAUUUUUCCAGUUGCGCGAAUUUAUAAUCUAAGAAAUUAGGAAUAUGUUACCAAUAAUAUUAACGACUAAUAAAGUGCCAGCAGUCGCGGUCAUACUUUCGUUAAAAAUAAACUAAAUUAGGACAUGUGUAAGUAAUGGUGAACCUGUGGUAAAAUACGGUCAUAUUCACUUUAAUACUUUAAUUGUGGCAAAAACUGGUAACAAACAGGGAUUAGAUACCCCUUUAUGCAGUAAGUAAAUCACGUCCUGGGCAUUACAAUUAACAGAUUGAAACCCAAUGAACAUGGCGGUAGCUUAAAUAUUUAGGGGAACUUACUAAGUAAAUGAUAACCAUCAAGAAUAUGUACGUUAAAUCACAUUUUACAUACCGUCGUCGUCAGAUCUUCUUCGAUAGAAUGUCAAUAUAUCUUACAAAUAAAAAGACAGAUCAAGGUGUAGACUAUUAUAACGUUUCAGCGAGUUACAAUAUUUUCUUUUUUCGUAAACUAGUUAUAUAAUUAGCUAUAGGCGGACUUAAAAGUAAUAUUUAUAGGGGAUACAAUAUGAAUUAUCUUGACCU